UUUCCGUAGGUGAACCUGCGGAAGGAUCAUUAUUGUAUAACCGAGGUGCGAGGGCUGUCGCUGACCCGAAAGGUCGUGCACGCCCGAGUGCCCUCACACACAUCCAUCUCACCCCUAUGUGCACCACCGCGUGGGUCCCCCUUUGGCUUGUUCGGAGGGGGGCUUACGUUUUCACACAAACUUUGUAUGCAGUGUAGAAUGUAUUUUUUGUUUUUGCGAUCACGCAAUCAAUACAACUCUCAACAACGGAUCUCUUGGCUCUCGCAUCGAUGAAGAACGAGC
rnacentral:misc_RNA from 1 species